rnacentral:rRNA from 1 species
GGUUUGAUUCUGGCUCAGAUUGAACGCUGGCGGGGAUGCCUUUACACAUGCAAGUCGAACAGCGGCACGGACUUCGGUCUGGUGGCGAGUGGCGAACGGGUGAGUAAUGUCGGAACGUGCUAGUAGCGGGGGAUAACUACGCGAAGCGUAGCUAAUACCGCAUACGCCCUUCGGGGAAAGCAGGGGACCUUCGGGCCUCGCACUGUGGAAGCAGCCGAUAUCGGAUUAGCUAGUUAGUGGGAGCAACAGCUCACCAGAGCGACGAUCCGUAGCUGGUUUGAGAGGACGACCAGCCACACUGGGACUGAGACACGGCCCAGACUACGGGAGGGCGGCGGUGAAAUUUUGGACAAUGGGGAAGCCCUGGUCAGCCAUCCGCAUUGUGCGAUGAAGGCCUUCGGGUUGUAAAGCACUUUUGUAGAGAGAAAAACGGCACGGGAUAAUGCAAUGCAACUGGCGAGCUACCUGCAGAGAAUAAGCACCAAAAGCUAACACGUGUAGCGUAUUGCCCAUGAUAAUACACGUAGGGUGCAAGCGUUAAUCGGAAUUACAGGCGGCAAAGCGUGCGCAGGCGGUUCUGGAAAGAAAGAUGUUAAUCCCAGAGCUUAACAUGGAACUGCAUUUUUAACUACCGGGCUGAAAUCAUCCAGGAGGUGGAAUUCCGCGUGUAGCAGUGAAAUGCGUAGAUGUACGGAGGGCACCGAUGGCGAAAACAGCCUCCUGGGACAACACUGACUCCUUCUACUGGCAAUGGGAGCAAACAGGAUUAGGUACCCUGGUGGUCCACGCCCCCUAAGCAAUGUAGCUUCGCUGUUGGGGGCCUUCAGGCCUUGGUAUUAGCGCAGCUAACGCGUGAAGUUGACCGCCUGAGGAGUACAGUCCUCUUAGUCAAAACCAAAGGAAUUGACAGGGACCCGCCUGCGUGACGGAUGUGGAUUGAAUUCGAUACCUUGCGAAAAACCUUACCUACCCUUGACAUGUCUGGAAUCCCGAAGAAGAGAUUUGGGAGUGCUCGCAGAAGAACCGGAACACAGGUGCUGCAUGGCUGUCGUCAGCUCGUGUCGUGAGAUGUUGGGUUGAUCCGCAACGAGCGCAACCCUUAAUCAUUGGUUGCUACGAGGAGCACUCUAAUGAGACUGCCGGUGACAAACCCGGAGGAAGGUGAGGAUGACGUCAAGUCCUCAUGACCUUGGGUGGGCUUCACACGUCAUACAAUGGUCGGGACAGAGGGUCGCCAACCGCGAGGAAUACAAUCCCAGAAACCCGAUCAUGGUCGGAUGCUGAUCUGCAUCAAACUGCAUGAAGUCGGAAUCGCUAGUAACCGCGGAUCAGCAUGUCGCGGUGAAUACGUUCCCGGGUCUUGUACACCGCCCGUCACCUCAUGGGAGUGGGAUUGCAGAAGUAGUUAGCCUAACCGUAAGGAGGGCGAUUACCACGGUAGGAUUCAUGACGACUGGGGUGAAGUCAUCAACAAGGUAA